ensembl:snRNA U6 U6 spliceosomal RNA
GUGCUCGCUUUGACAGCGCAUAUCCUAACAUUGGAACGAUACAGAGAAGAUUAGCAAGGUCCCUGCACAAGGAUGGAAGGCAGAUUUGGGAAGUGUUUUAUGUCCUU